rnacentral:lncRNA from 1 species
UGCACCAACAUGUCCCUGAUCAGACCAUUGGGAUAUUAAGUCUUGGGAUAGGUCCAGGACCCUAGUUUUUGAGAAGCUAGGUCGUGUCAAUUGCUUUGGCACCAACUAGUAUGAAUUGGUUUAGUGACUGGCACUAGCCUGUGCUCAACAAUUGGAACUAGGUCAUGUCAAGAGGGGUGCUUGAGCCUUUUUUCUUUUCCUCAAUUGCUUUGCAUGUGAAAGGAGGAUGGGGAGA